AGGCGUAGCCGAUGCACAGACGGUAGAGAUUCCGUCACCACCAAAAGAGUUAAGCACAGGGACACAUAUGAAGUCUCAGAGCCGGGUGUUGGUUCCGGUAGAGAUCGAGGGAAAUUAGUACCGAAGUCUGAGAUGGAAGAUGGCGAGAAAAGCUGUGUGUAUUUCUGAGGUGCCCGUACCGCAAACCGACACAGGUAGGUAGGAAGAAGAUUCUAAGGCCAACGGGAGAAGGGUUGUUAAGGAACUCGGCAAAUUGACCCCGUAACUUCGGGAGAAGGGGUGCUCCAGAGAUGGAGCCGCAGAGAAUCGGCCCAAGCAACUGUUUACCAAAAACACAGGUUUGUGCUAAAUCGAAAGAUGACGUAUACGAGCUGACGCCUGCCCGGUGCUGGAAGGUUAAGAGGAGAUGUGCAAGCAUUGAAUCGAAGCCCCAGUGAACGGCGGCCGUAACUAUAACGGUCCUAAGGUAGCGAAAUUCCUUGUCAGGUAAGUUCUGACCCGCAUGAAAGGCGUAAUGAUUUGGGCACUGUCUCAACAGCCCGCCCGGCGAAAUUGUAGUACCGGUGAAGAUGCCGGUUACCCGCGACAAGACGGAAAGACCCCAUGGAGCUUUACUGUAGCCUAAUAUUGGGUUUCGAUGUUGCAUGCACAGGAUAGAUGGGACUCUGGGAAACCAAGGCUUUGGCCUUGGCGGAGAGGCCGUUGGGAUACCAUCCUUGCGAUAUUGGAAUUCUAACCUGCGGCUCUGAAUCGAGUCGGGGGACAUUGUUAGGUGGGCAGUUUGACUGGGGCGGUCGCCUCCUAAAGAGUAACGGAGGCGUUCAAAGGUUCGCUCAGCUUGAACGGAAAUCAAGCAAAAGAGUGCAAACGCAGAAGCGAGCCUAACUGCGAGACUGACGGGUCGAGCAGUAACGAAAGUUGGAGUUAGUGAUCCGGUGGUAUGUGAGUGGAAAUGCCAUCGCUCAACGGAUAAAAGUUACCCUGGGGAUAACAGGCUGAUCUCCCCCAAGAGUCCACAUCGACGGGGAGGUUUGGCACCUCGAUGUCGGCUCAUC
rnacentral:rRNA from 1 species